AUGGAGCGCAGGGCCUACGCGCGCGUGGGCCUCCUCGGCAACCCCAGCGACGUCUACGGCGGCCGCACCGUCUCCUUCACCGUCGCCGGCCUCUGGGCCAUCGUCCGCCUCCGCUCCUCCGACCAGCUCCUCGUCCAGCCCCACCCGCGCCACGACCUCGUCGCCUUCCCCUCCCUCCACGCCCUCGUAAGCGCCCCUCCCCCUCCCCCUCCCCCAACCCUCGCAAUGGAUAUAAAUACAUCAACGCCGGUGCAUGAACGGACAGAUCUAGCAAGCGCGAAUCAAUCCAUCCAUUGCACCGUGGCGCAGAUGAUGAUUAGAAUCAGAAUAGCACCACCAAUCUCAGUUCUUCUAGAUUAA
rnacentral:rRNA from 1 species